GACGAACGCUGGCGGCGUGCUUAACACAUGCAAGUCGAACGCUGAAGCUCAGCUUGCUGGGUGGAUGAGUGGCGAACGGGUGAGUAACACGUGAGUAACCUGCCCUCUUCUUUGGGAUAACGCCCGGAAACGGGUGCUAAUACUGGAUAUUCACUUUUUCUCGCAUGGGGGUUGGUGGAAAGGUUUUUUCUGUUGGUGGAUGGGCUCGCGGCCUAUCAGCUUGUUGGUGGGGUGAUGGCCUAUCAAGGCUUUGACGGGUAGCCGGCCUGAGAGGGUGACCGGUCACAUUGGGACUGAGAUACGGACCAGAAUCCUACGGGAGGCAGCAGUGGGGAAUAUUGCACAAUGGGCGAAAGCCUGAUGCAGCGACGACGCGUGAGGGAUGGAGGCCUUGGGGUUGUAAACCUCUUUCGCUCAUGGUCAAGCCGCAGCUUUGGGUUGUGGUGAGGGUAGUGGGUAAAGAAGCGCCGGCUAACUACGUG
rnacentral:rRNA from 1 species